GAGGUGCCUUUACUACAUGUGUGAUCUGAAAACCCUGCUUGGUUCUGAGCUGCGUCUAUUGAAUUGGUAAAGUAAUACCAAUGGCUUUUUAUCAUUUCCUUCUUCCCUUUAAGUUUCACUUGAAAUUUUAAAAAUCAUGGUUAUUUUUAUCGUUGG
rnacentral:lncRNA from 1 species